UGAUAAUAUUUGACACAUCUGUGAAGCAGAAAUAUCAGUAAAAUACACAGGAAGUAAUAUAUCUGAAAUAUUAGUAAAAGAAUAACUUGACAUAAAUGGUGAAUAGCACACUUUUGUGGAAUUUGUCAACACCAUUAGAAAAAGGGUCAACACCGUCAGACAAAAAUCCUGAUGGUGUUGACAUCUGAUGGUGUUGACAAAAUACCCUACUUUCUCUCAUAACACAUGUUUUUCUGACAAAAGCCAUCUUGUUUUUCAUCAGUUGCUUAUGGCCUCUACAUUCUACCUAAAUUAAGCUCUUUUUACAAAAAAAUAAAAUAAAAUCUUGGAUUACAUCGACUUUGGUGUUGACACACUAUGGUUGUGACACAGAGUUUUAUCAGAAAGGUGUGCAAUAAAUGAAAUAAAAACAAAUAAAUUAUCACAGCAGUGACCUCAUGGCAUGUCUAUCAAACAGGAAGUGGUAAAGGGGUCUUCAGAGUGUAAGCUACCCAACAUUAAUUCCUGAUUUUUUUUGUACUUUAAAAAAAAUCUGAUGGUGUUGACAAAAACUCUGGACACGAUUUUAAUCACUUAAAACAUAUUUAAAAAUAAAUUUUCAAUUGCAUAUUUUGAUAUUAUAUAAGGUAUUGACUUAAAUACUUAGUGACGAGAGCCAUGAUGUUUAAUUUUACAUUACUUUUAAUUUUUUUUCUGUAUUUUAAUAUUAUCACACCUGCUUCUGGACAAUGGAUUUUUAAGGUACUGGUAAUAUAUAUUUACCAUUUAAAAUAAAUAUAUAUUGAUAAAAAAAUGCAAAAUCAUACUUUUGUUGUAUAAACAUUGCCUUGGUUUGUCUUUUAGACAGUUGGGUUAACACUUGUUUGCAUAUUUUUAACCACAAAAUUGGGUUUUAUCUGCCGGACAUGUUUUGUCCCUCAUCUCAAGAAUCACUGAAUGGCCAUUCAGUCAGUUGAGGGUAUUCAAUGUAGGUCAAAGAGUGACAUGCUUGCAGGAGCUUUUGAAUUAUUAUCAUUAUACUUUCCACUUCUUUGAUUGUGAUUUCUCAGUCGACAGCAAACAGUAUGAUAUAUUUUCAUAUGGCUAUGAUGCCUUCAGUACUUUAGCGGCUCAAUGUAAGAGCAGACUGACAGACUGAUUUGCAGAGGGGAUUUAUUGUCUCAGCCAAAUUUCCGUUUUGUUAUUGUUCAUAGCUCUGCAAGCUCAGCAUGUGUGCUGUCUGAAAAGAAGCCAGUGACAACAAGGAAAACAAUAACAUUUAUUUAUUGAUUCAUAAGGUAUAUAUUUCAUGAUAUAAUAGCGAUAUAUUAUAAUUGGCAAAGAUACUAUAAUCCAAUAGCAUUUCUAUACAUAAAUACAAAAUCUGAGGUAGAGCCUCAAAGAUUGAUGAAGUUGAAAAUAAAUAAAUGCAUUUCACAUAUAUUAUAUAUAUUUUCUUUCUUGUUUUUUUUUUUUGUUUUGUUUUGUUUUGGGGGGUUUACACACAUCACACACAUUUUAAAACAUAAUUGUUGUAGUGUAUAUCUACUCUUAAUUUUAAAAUUAAAUUGAUGUCAUGGGCUUUUGGAGGCACAUAUCUAUAUCCAUAGGCAGCAGUACCUCACAUAGAACACACAGAAAUAUAUGACAUUACUCAAGUAAUUAGAAAUUUAACCUAUGCAUUCAUAGGUCACACAAUAAAGUGCCAAAAAGACACAACAGACGUAACAAUAGGAAUACUGGUACCAUAUGAGACAGACAGCUAUUGUGUGAUGUUAUUUCUGAAAUACAUAUAAUAUUCUACCAUAAGAGGACAUCUAUAAGGCCAAUGGUUACCUGAAGAUGUUUUGUAACAUAUUGGCAAACAUCAAAGAACACUACAUGUUAUAUGAAUGGCAGUAUCUCGACCUCCUAUACGCAGAUGACACAUUCCUUUUUUCUUUUAAAGAUUGCUUUCUGUUUUCACUACAACCCUUAUAUAAAUUGCUCUUUCUUUGGUUACUUAUACUGCCCAAAGUUGACUUGCAGGCUAAGCAAAUUAGCAGUUCUUUUUGGUUGCUGUUGUUGUUGUUGUUUUGAUUCUUUCACCUAUGUAAAAGGACAACAGCAACCUUCUGAUUCUUUAUGUAGAACAUAAAGUUACCUAAAGUAAACAUGCACUGUAUUAUACUAUUGGGAGGAAAAGGACAAAGAUUAUUAUACAUGGACAUCAAGUUACAGCAACACAAACUGCACAUGCAAGCUCUUCAUUACAUUAUAUGGCUCCAUGUGGUUUCAACUAAACCCUAAUUUAGUUUUUUGUUUUUUUUCUGAAAAAUAAAGGCAGAGAAUCUCUAUAGAAAUUGAACAUAACAGGGCACAGAACAAGGCCCCGAGUGAAAGCAUUAAAAUCUCUCUCAGGGCAAAAAAGGCUUUAAUCAUUCAAGUCUUAUAGCAAUACGCAAACGGUCUACUACAUCCAACAUGAUUUAAAAUGCCAACCUGCUCAUUUGGCCAGCCCUGCUCUAAUUUGCAUGAAAGCCAUAGAGUUCAAUGGUUUUUUUGGAGCAGAUUAGUGUUCAUAGUCUGCUUUAACCAGCUCGAGUUAAUAAUUUGUUCUCCAAGAUCCCCACAUCAUCAGAAAUGAGAACUAGGUGCAUCAAACAUCCUGUAAAUCUCCUCUGCCUCUUUCAGCAAUCUACUUUAAGACUGACCAUGCAAACAUCUGAUUGACAGGCAGUUGAUAUUAUUUGUAUUGCCGAUGGAAUUUUGUACACAGAUGGAACCAAACAAAGAUCCCCACUGAGCUCGUUGUGCCGUUUUUUGUUUUUGGGGGGGUUUUUUCUCUGUCGCUCAAUUUUCUUUUUGUUUUCCUGUGUCUGCUUGCACCAAGAUGAUUCAUUAUCUGUACACACGAAUUUGAUGGCACGCACAUACACUUAAACUCACGCGCGCACACACAGAGAAAUACACACAACUCCAUAGGGAGCAACUAGGGUGAGUCUAAUAUUGCAAGUGCAGUCUGAGCUGUGUCAUUUUAUGACACAAUUUUUCUCUUGGAAUAAAGAUCCCUGGGAAGGGUUCUGGAGUAAUCAGCGGUCAUGUGUGGGAGGCAAUGGUAGCCCAUUAAGAGUGUACAAAGCAGCAGUGGAAGAGUAGACUCCACUUGGGCAGCUACUCCUCCCUGAGAGAAGAAAGGACAUGAUGCAGACAUAAAGGAAGAAGAGAAGGUGCUUGUUUCCACAUCCACGAUAAAGCAAAGAAGACAAGAAGCAAAGAAGGCUUAAGUACAGAGCAGGAGAGAGAGAGAAGGGAGAAGACGUGGAGAUGGAGACGAUUCCCACCACCCACCAGUGCCUCCUACAGGGCUUGGAAGUGGUGGAUGUGGUGCUGUCAGGAUGGCUGCUACUGGUAAGAACCAAGCUGGAAGUCCUUGGGGGGCAGCUUGAGGCCCAGGGAGCUGGUUCCCAGUGGGUCGAUCAUGUUCUGGUAGCGUUCUCCACGGUGCUUCAUCAGGAAAGGACCCCAGUCAGGCUGAGGGGAGCAGACCAGCUUCAGGCGCUGCAUGACAACAGGAAACACAGAGCACUUACAGAACCUGGUUGGAUGGGGGAGCAUCGGUGCACAGCCAUUUUCUGAUCUCUCAAGAGGUGUUCAUUCAAAGACAUUCAUAGAGUGGUCCUGAAGCCACUCUUUUGUUAUCUUGGCUGCGUGUUGGGGUUCACUAUUAUUUUGGAAAAUGAGCCUUCGCCUCAGUUAAUGAGAUGGGACCAAGAACUACAUGUGGACAGGUGUGUACCUUUCCAAAUCAUGUCCAAUCAACUGAAUUACCACAGCUGGACUUCAGUUAAGUUGUAGAAACAUCUGAAAGAUCAGCGGUGGAAACAGGAAGGACCCGAGCUCAAUUUUGAGUGUCAUGGCAAAGGCUGUGAAGAUUUGUGUAUGUGCUUCAUUUUGUUUGAUUUUUAAUAAAUUUGCAAAAAUUUCAAGCAAACUUUUUGACUUUGUCACUAUGGGGCAUUGUGUGCAGAAAUUCGAGGUGAAAAAGGAUUUGACACUGUGAUGAUUAUGCGUUAAUUAUGAUCAAGAAAAGCAAAGCAAAUCAAAUGUAGCGUUAGAGGUGUGUGAUAGAGGCUGCUGUCAGAUACAGAGCGCACAAAGAUGUUAGACCAGAAAGGCCCGUUCGUCAUCAUCAUCAUCCAUUAAUCAAAGCAUUUUAAAGAGACCCACAAGACUCCCAGAAAAAAUGUUCAAAUUAAUACUCAGCCUGCAGCCUUCCUCUCUCUGCUAAUGAGCGAAGGAUGAGACUAUUGAUUUCCUCGACAGUGCGUGCGCAUGUGUGUGUGUGUGUGUGUGGUGUGAGUAAG